rnacentral:rRNA from 1 species
UACAGAGACUGCAAGCGUUAUUCGGAUUCACUGGGCGUAAAGGGUGCGCAGGCGGCCGAGUGUGUGAGGCGUGAAAGCCCGGGGCUUAACCCCGGAAUUGCACCUCAAACUACACGGCUAGAGCAUUGGAGAGGGUAGCAGAAUUCAUGGUGUAGCAGUGAAAUGCGUAGAUAUCAUGAGGAAUACCAGAGGCGAAGGCGGCUACCUGGACAAUUGCUGACGCUGAGGCGCGACAGCGUGGGGAGCAAACAGG